rnacentral:lncRNA from 1 species
AAAUUUUCUUUUCUUUUUUUGUUUUUUAGCCAAUUAGCCAAAAAGCCAACCCUGAAAUAAUAUCAUCUCUUGUUUGAAACCCUCUUUAGCCUAUUAUCCCUUUUUUGUUUAAAACUCAUUAUAAACCGAGAAGUGAAAAACAAUGUUAUUACCCUAUUCAAAGGGUUAAAAGAGUCUUGUUUGGAGUUGUGUGGGGGUUGAAUAAGUAUGAUUGUAAUAUUUCAGAAAUUGGCAGAAAAAGAAAAGAAAAAUAGAAAAAGAAAAGAAAAAA